rnacentral:rRNA from 1 species
GAUGCAACGCGAAGAACCUUACCUGGCCUUGACAUACUAAGAACUUUCCAGAGAUGGAUUGGUGCCUUCGGGAACUUAGAUACAGGUGCUGCAUGGCUGUCGUCAGCUCGUGUCGUGAGAUGUUGGGUUAAGUCCCGCAACGAGCGCAACCCUUUUCCUUAUUCGCCAGCGGGUAAUGCCGGGAACCUUAAGGAUACUGCCAGUGACAAACUGGAGGAAGGCGGGGACGACGUCAAGUCAUCAUGGCCCUUACGGCCAGGGCUACACACGUGCUACAAUGGUCGGUACAAAGGGUUGCUACCUCGCGAGAGGAUGCUAAUCUCAAAAAGCCGAUCGUAGUCCGGAUCGCAGUCUGCAACUCGACUGCGUGAAGUCGGAAUCGCUAGUAAUCGCGGAUCAGAAUGCCGCGGUGAAUACGUUCCCGGGCCUUGUACACACCGCCCGUCACACCAUGGGAGUUUGUUGCACCAGAAGUAGGUAGUCUAACCGCAAGGAGGAC